AUCACAUUUAAAUUGCUAUUGUGAUUAAUUUUACAAGAGCACUAACUUGUAACUACUGGAAAUAAACAUUCCUAACUACAAUGUGGCGUCUAUUUAAAGAACUAGACUACAAUAAUUUAAUGUUAGCCAAGCGUUUCUUGAAGCUAGCAUGCAUUCUACAACAAACCUAAAAUCAUUCUGGUACACCCAACACCAGCGAAGAUCUAGUACACAUCGGCCUACUCCAUUAUGCCUGUUAUUUUAGGUGGCUGUGGCUCAAUCCCCAGCUCUUUUAUACUACUCACUUCCCAACGAUAGUCCUUGCUACUCCCGAUCCAUGUCCUGCCCAUGCAUGAAAUGCCGUUCCUCACUUUCACCAUCAGAAUACUCUCCAAGCUUUGAAAUGGCAUCGAGAAGUGCCUGCUCAUGCUCCUUCAGCACUUUCGUUGCCUUCUCUACCAUCUGAGGAUCUGGAUGGCCAGAGCUAAAGAUCCUCUCCACCUCUCUGAUCAAUGUACCAGUAUGAAGUAACUUAAUAUCAUCAGGUCCCUUCUUCCCUAGGCCAUUCUGUGAUGGUGGAAAAUCUUUUCUAGAGUGAGCUUUAGUCAAGCCCCGACCUCUCCCUGCACCAGGAGCACUAUCACGUCCAGCAGGUCUAGUCAUGGCACGACCUGGUCCACCAUAAUUUCCAUGAUGAGAAAUUCCAGGGUCUUCACCCUCCCACUGGAUAUCCUCGGGAGAAAUCUCAGCAAGGUUGACCCAUUCCCACGUCUCAUUUGCAGUACCCAUAUCAUAAACAAGAGCAUGUCUACCCUCAACUCGAUUAAAAUCAGUUAUGAGUGCUUCAUAAAAAUUAUUGUCAUCAGGCCAUCUAGUUUUCACUUUCCUUCCAAUCAAUGGAUCAAAUGAUGCUGCUUCAACGGGUUCAGAAACCCGAUUACCGAAUUGGGCUCUUCCAGAAGGACCAGGAGUAGGGUACUGCAUCUUCAUCGAAGACGCACCAGACAUCAUCUGGCCAGAUUUAUGCUUUUUACCCUUUGGCCCCACCAUAGGUCCUCUCUUGGCUGCAGAUGAAGAUGGCUGGUUUGCAGCAGCCAGAGCAGGUGGGUGGAAAGUAGGAGAUGGUCCAGCAAAGGACUGUGACGGUAAAGGUGGAGCUAUCUUCUGUUUCUUCCGUGAAGCUGAGACAGAAGGACUGGGUAAUGGGUCAUGAAUAGCUUGACCAGUGCCAAGCAUACCAGGUUGCUGAGCCCCUGAUUGUCUCCACUCCCUUAUUCUUCUGAUGACAUCAUCAGCAUUAACUCUACCAAGAAGUUCUCUAUGUUCUUCAUUGGACAAUCUUAACUCUUUUCUUAACU
rnacentral:misc_RNA from 1 species